CUUAAAGGAAUUGACGGGCCCGCACAAGCAGCGGAGCGUGUGGUUUAAUCGAUGUUACACGAAGAACCUUACCAGGGUUUGACAUGCAAGUGGUAGGAAGCCGAAAGGUGACCGACCCUUCGGGGAGCUUGCACAGGUGCUGCAUGGCUGUCGUCAGCUCGUGUCGUGAGAUGUUCGGUUAAGUCCGCUAACGAGCGCAACCCUCGCUGUGUGUUAUAUGUGUCACACGGGACUGCCGGUCUUAAGCCGGAGGAAGGUGGGGAUGAUGUCAAGUCAGCAUGGCCUUUAUAUCCUGGGCUACACACACGCUACAAUGGCCAACACAAUAGGUUGCUAAGCCGCGAGGUGGCGCCAAUCCAUAAAGUUGGUCUCAGUUCAGAUUGUAGGCUGCAACCCGCCUGCAUGAAGAUGGAGUUGCUAGUAAUCGCGGAUCAGCAUGCCCGCGGUCCGAAUACGUUCCGGGCCUU
rnacentral:rRNA from 1 species